GGUCUCAAAUUAUCCACGGGGCCUGGACCAAGCAUUUCUGUCCAAAGGCCCAGGCGCCAAGCUGCAGGACACAGAUCCCUGGAGCCUCCUGUGUCCACACUGCCAGAUGCCCUCCAUCCUCCCAGACUGAGCUCCGGGCUCCGCAAGACCAGCGGGAGGUGGCCAAGCCCAAGCCAGGGCCUCAGAGGUAAUGUGUGAAAGUCUUAAACAGGAGGUCCCAUCAGGGCAGCUCCUUGGCGACUCAGCCCUCCCUGAUGGGCCUGGCCGAGCUGUGCUCAGCCUCAGACGCCCACGAGGACACGGACUAUGGCUGGUCCAGACCCUCGCGCACCUCUGCGGCGUGCACCGCCAGCAUACUGCACGUGCUGGAAACACCGCUCAUGUCAGGUGAUUCUACUCAACAACCCGACUUCAGGAGCAUUUGGUGUCUGCAGCCACACAUCCCUGAACGCUUCCCACCCCACGGGGCAGGAUUCCGGCAGGAAGCAGGCGGCGCUCAGGGUGGGCAGCCUCAGGCGAACUGAAUGUGCAGGCUGUGGUGGUGACCUUCCUGCCCCUCAGGUGUGAGCACAGCAAUGCUGGGUGCCGUCUCAUUAGCUGGAAGGUGCUCGGAGGCGGCGGGAAGGCCUGGGGUCUCCACUGACCACCCUGGCUUGUGCACAAGCCGGGCUGUGAGCAGAGCGGCCCUGGGCACCAAGGGGACGGGGCCGCUGGAUUCUGCCGCGGCUCCUCGGGACCUCUUGUGUGUGUGUGUGUGCACGCUUCAGUGGUGAAAUAAACUCUGCUGCCAACCA